rnacentral:rRNA from 1 species
CACACCGCCCGUCGCUACUACCGAUUGAAUGGCUCAGUGAGGCGUCCGGACUGGCCCAGAGAGGUGGGCAACUACCACUCAGGGCCGGAAAGCUCUCCAAACUCGGUCAUUUAGAGGAAGUAAAAGUCGUAACAAGGUCUCCGUUGGUGAACCAGCGGAGGGAUCAUU